AUAUGCCUGGCUCCCUGUAUGCCACUCGCACGGCUACCACCUGGACGAUCAUAUCGGAGCCCUGAUCGAUCGGUGGCCGAUGCGGCUGGCGUGCGAGGUGCCAAGCAUGG
rnacentral:pre_miRNA from 2 species